UGGGGAGUCGUCUAAUGGUAGGACAACAGAUUUUGGUUCUGUCGGUUGGGGUUCGAGUCCCUGCUCCCCAG
rnacentral:tRNA from 3 species